AUUAGAAGAGUGUAGAUCAAUAACAAAUACAUAGUCAUAUUGUUGCAGCAAAUUAAUUAAGUCACCGCCAAAUAUCCUUUCUCGACUCCGUGUGAGAAAGCAAUAUCGGAGCCAACCAUUCAAUUAAUUCAUAGUUCAAGUUGUAUUAGAUCGGGAUACGACUCAAAAUCGUAAUGUUACAGUGAACACGGCUAUUCUAAUAGUUCAAUUUAUCCGUGCCGGGGUGCACCACAUUUCCCAACACACUCGAUCAACUCGGACCGUACAUACUUUCAUGGGUCAUGCCCGGCCUCGACAG
rnacentral:lncRNA from 1 species